rnacentral:misc_RNA from 1 species
AAAAAAAAAAAAAAAACUUGCCUAUUCAUAACGGGAACACCUUCUCAGCUUAAAAAACUUAGAGAAGAAUUUGAGAUUGCUUGGUCAGUGUCUAAGUUGAAAGCAAUAUCUUGAUUGAUGUUGGCACCUUAUUUUCAUAUGACCGAUCAAUAUAAGCACCAUAAACAUGUAUGCAAUCAGUCAUGCUUCAAGUUUCACCGUGCUUGACACCUCAAGCCUAUGUGAGAUGAAAAUCUUUGAUCAUUGUCCUCUGCUGCUAGGAACUUCUCCAAGGAUGUCAUAUUCAUAAAGAAUGAGAACCAGAAACUGUGAACUCGAAUAAACUUAACCUUAGUUUGCUAUGUUUUGUGUCUAUGCCUCAUUAAAGUUUCGUGACUUUCUCGAAUAAGUUCAGCUACUGUGAUUUCUAAAAUGAGGACUUUAAUGUCCUUGGAAGUUGCAUAAAAUGUUUAUAUGGCUUCUAUGCAGGUUCUUGGCACAGGUAUGUCUGCUAAGAUGUGGGAAGUA